rnacentral:rRNA from 1 species
UACGGAGGGUGCGAGCGUUGUCCGGAAUCACUGGGCGUAAAAGGCGCGUAGGCGGCUUGGGAAGUCCGUGGUGAAAGCUCGUGGCUCAACUGCGAGUCGGCCAUGGAUACUCCUAAGCUCGAGUCGACUAGAGGCAGAUGGAAUUCCGGGUGUAGCGGUGGAAUGCGUAGAGAUCCGGAAGAACACCGGUGGCGAAGGCGGUCUGCUGGGGUCGAACUGACGCUGAGGCGCGACAGCGUGGGGAGCAAACAGG